AGAGUUUGAUCAUGGCUCAGGAUGAACGCUAGCGGCAGGCUCAAUACAUGCAAGUCAAGGGGGUAGCAAUACAACCGGCGCACGGGUGAGUAACGCGUACACAACAUACCAUAUACUGGAGUAUAGCUUUGGGAAACUGAAGGUAAUCCUCCAUAACAUUGCGAGAGGGCAUCUGAUUGCAAUUAAAGUUUCGGCGGUAUAUGAUUGGUGUGCGUUUGAUUAGCUAGUUGGUAGGGUAACGGCCUACCAAGGCGACGAUCAAUAGCUGGCGUGAGAGCGCGACCAGCCACACUGGAACUGAGACACGGUCCAGACUCCUACGGGAGGCAGCAGUAGGGAAUAUUGGACAAUGGAGGAAACUCUGAUCCAGCCAUGCCGCGUGAUAGAUGAAGGCCCUCUGGGUUGUAAAUAUCUUUAUCUGGGAAGAAACACUCCUAUUCUUAGGAACUUGACGGUACCAGAGGAAUAAGCACCGGCUAACUCCGUG
rnacentral:rRNA from 1 species